UGCUUUCUACGGGGGGCAGCAGUGGGGAAUAUUGGACAAUGGGGGGAACCCUGAUCCAGCGACGCCGCGUGAGUGAAGAAGUAUUUCGGUAUGUAAAGCUCUAUCAGCAGGGAAGAAAGAAAUGACGGUACCUGACUAAGAAGCCCCGGCUAACUACGUGCCAGCAGCCGCGGUAAUACGUAGGGGGCAAGCGUUAUCCGGAUUUACUGGGUGUAAAGGGAGCGUAGACGGAAAGGCAAGUCAGAAGUGGAAACCCAAGGCUCAACCAUGGGACUGCUUUUGAAACUGUCAAACUAGAGUACGGG
rnacentral:rRNA from 1 species